GAUGAACGCUGGCGGCGUGCCUAAUACAUGCAAGUCGAGCGAACGGACGAGAAGCUUGCUUCUCUGAUGUUAGCGGCGGACGGGUGAGUAACACGUGGAUAACCUACCUAUAAGACUGGGAUAACUUCGGGAAACCGGAGCUAAUACCGGAUAAUAUUUUGAACCGCAUGGUUCAAAAGUAAAAGACGGUCUUGCUGUCACUUAUAGAUGGAUCCGCGCUGCAUUAGCUAGUUGGUAAGGUAACGGCUUACCAAGGCAACGAUGUAUAGCCGACCUGAGAGGGUGAUCGGCCACACUGGAACUGAGACACGGUCCAGACUCCUACGGGAGGCAGCAGUAGGGAAUCUUCCGCAAUGGGCGAAAGCCUGACGGAGCAACGCCGCGUGAGUGAUGAAGGUCUUCGGAUCGUAAAACUCUGUUAUUAGGGAAGAACAUAUGUGUAAGUAACUGUGCACAUCUUGACGGUACCUAAUCAGAAAGCCACGGCUAACUACGUG
rnacentral:rRNA from 1 species